UACGGAGGGGGCUAGCGUUAUUCGGAAUUAUUGGGCGUAAAGGGCGUGUAGGCGGCUUCGUAAGUCUCGUGUGAAAGCCCUCGGCUCAACCGAGGAAUUGCACGAGAAACUGCGUGGCUCGAGUCCGGGAGAGGAUAGUGGAAUUCCCAGUGUAGCGGUGAAAUGCGUAGAUAUUGGGAGGAACACCGGUGGCGAAGGACGGCUAUCUGGACCGGUACUGACGCUGAGACG
rnacentral:rRNA from 1 species